GAUGUGUUUAAUUCUCCCAGUCGCUGGGUUUUGCCCUUGGAUAUUCGGCCACAUCCAUCGCGUGUUGGUGCCCUGCAUGUUGACCGGGACAUACCUGCGUCCUCACGCCACAACCCCUGUCCGUACAUGCUACCCCAGCAGCCUCCUCAUCGUACGUACAGCCCAUCAAAUUGUUUGCAAAACGAUGCUGAAUUGGAACUAUAUGUAUGGCCUCUUUUUCUGCGGUUUGUUCUUGCAAUCAUGAGCCAGAGGUUGGAAACAUCCUAGGUUGGGUCACGUUUGCGCCGUCGACGCCACCUGCAACCUAUUUCAACCCCCUCUGUACAAGGUCACAACAGGAUCCAGUACAAGACAUGCUUUUGGAUGCUAGUGAAGUCCAGAAAGGGCGAAAACGAAGCUUACGAUAUGCUGAAGGUCAAAGGACAAGAACGAGUUGCUCUUUCAGCCGUUUGAAAUGAACUACAACAACGAACCGGCCAUGUACUGAAAGGGCUCAUGUGCUUACCGUGAAAAAGGUAUGUUUACCAUCAUCCAGGAACUAUUUUCAACAACAAUGCUGUUUGCGCUGCAGUUUCAUAUUAAGCAUUCCAAAAUAAAAUGUAGCGAUGCUCAAGAAACAAGAUUUACUUUGCCUAAUAAAAGAUUAAAGUUUUUUUUUCCAACCCUGUGUGUAUUACGAUGAUGGGCUGUGCGGGGCGGCUUAUGGCUGUGCGGGGCGAGUAGGUGGCGGCUCAGGGCAUGGUAAUGCAGUGUCGGCGGUUGGCGGUGGCCCGCGGUGCAUCUUCUCCUUCCGCAGCGUCCGGGAAGACGAGGGGAUCCGGCAGUCUGCUGGGUACCCUGCUUAGCACCCCAGGCACAGCCCGCGUGCGUCGCUGCUGGAGGUAGUCACCCCCCGGCGUCGCUGCUGGAGCUAGUCACCCCCCGGCGUUGCUUCCUGGCAUCUUUGCGUGGGCGCUGUGUCCGGUCCUUGGUCCCGUGCACCCACCUCGCCCGGAGUGGAGGGAGUCCUGCGGGUACCAGAUGUGCGUAGCAGCAGCCUUGUGUUCGCCACCAAUUGCGUGCACCAGCUCAUCCCCACCCACGCCUGCUUCGUGUCUCUCCCGCGUCGAGAUGUUAUCCGUUCCAUAACCUCCAGAUGCCUCUGAAAAUAUGGCAUGCUAUCGGUUCCUCGGCGACGCGCUGGUCUCGUGGUCCUCGAAGCGCCAGCCCACGGCGUCCCGCUCCAGCGUGGAGGCAGAGUACCGUAGCGUGGCCAACACCGGGCCGAGUGUGUCUGGCUUCGACAACUCCUCGGCAAGCUCUGCUGCGCGGUCACCACUGCAACGCUGCCAUGCUGGUCUACUGCGACAACAUCUCUGCCGUGUACCUAUCCAGUAAUCUCGUUCACCACCACGGCACCAAGCAUGUCGAGCUGGACAUCCACUUAGCGGAUGACUGCAGGUGGACGAUGCUGCGAGUGGGCGGUGGCGCACGUCGACAUGAGGCCAGAGUUUUGGAGAACGCAUCGUCGUGGUCGUGGCUUUGUUAGCAGGUCGCAGGAACAGGUGAUGACUAAGUAGGAGUAGUUCUCAUCAUUGUCUCAAAGAAAACGUGACGGUUUAUUACGGCUGGAUAAUACAGCAAGGUCCGGCGUUCGAUCUCUGGACCGUGUAUUAUAUUAGCGAACAUCAUUUAUUUA